AUGCAGAGGACUUGAUCUAGAAAAAAAUAACAUCACAAGAAUCACAAAGACUGACUUUGCAGGACUGAAGAAUCUCCGUGUCUUACACUUGGAAGAAAAUCAGAUUAGCGUGAUAGAACGUGGAGCGUUUCAAGAUCUAAAGCAACUUGAACGGCUGCGUCUCAACAGGAAUAAACUGCAAGUUCUUCC